rnacentral:rRNA from 1 species
UACGAAGGGGGCUAGCGUUGUUCGGAAUUACUGGGCGUAAAGCGCACGUAGGCGGACUUGUAAGUAGGGGGUGAAAUCCCCGGGCUCAACCCGGGAACUGCCUUCUAGACUGCAAGCCUGGAGGUCAGGAGAGGCGAGUGGAAUACCGAGUGUAGAGGUGAAAUUCGUAGAUAUUCGGUGGAACACCAGUGGCGAAGGCGACUCGCUGGACUGAUACUGACGCUGAGGUGCGAAAGCGUGGGGAGCAAACAGG